rnacentral:rRNA from 1 species
CCUACGGGAGGCAGCAGUUGGGAAUCUUGCGCAAUGGGGGGAAACCCUGACGCAGCGACGUCGCGUGGGGGACGAAGGAUUUAGGUCUGUAAACUCCUUUUUCAGGGAAAGACUUAGGACGGUACCCUGAGAAUAAGCACCGGCUAACUACGUGCCAGCAGCCGCGGUAAGACGUAGGGUGCAAGCGUUGUCCGGAUUUACUGGGCGUAAAGGGCGCGUAGGCGGUCUGUUAAGUGUAGAGUGAAAUCUCCAGGGCUCAACCCGGAAACUGCUCUGCAUACUGGCAGACUUGAGGGACGAAGAGGUAUGUGGAAUUCCGUGGUGUAGCGGUGAAAUGCGUUGAUAUCAGGAGGAACACCCAUGGCGAAGGCAGCAUACUGGCCGUUUCCUGACGCUGAGGCGCGAAAGCGUGGGUAGCAAACAGGAUUAGAUACCCUGGUAGUCCACGCCCUAAACGAUGGAUACUAGGCGUCGGAGGUAUCGACCCCUCCGGUGCCGCAGCUAACGCAUUAAGUAUCCCGCCUGGGGACUCGGCCGCAAGGUUGAAACUCAAAGGAAUUGACGGCUGGAGACGNGCGAGACGACGACGAGGAGAG